GUCAACCUGCCAUCUGGGGGAGGGGGUGGGAGGAGGGAAAAAAUUGGAACAGAAGGUUUUGCAAUUGUCAAUGCUGUAAAAUUACCCAUGCAUAUAACUUGUAAAUAAAAAGCUACACACACACACACACACACACACACACACCUGGGGUUCACACUCUGGAGAAAACUGGUAUAUUUUCAUAACUGUAUUUAAACGACUGGUUUCCUUUGAAAGCCUAUUUCAUUCCUUUAGAAACAGUAUUCUGAUAAGGGGUAAACAAGCUUCAGAUUUCCUAAGGAGUCCGGGGCUCAAAAAAGGUUAAUAAAUAACACAGCAAAUUAGUCUAGGUUUUGUUAGGAACCUGGGAAACUCUGCUUUGGGGUGUCUGGACAUCUUUGCUCAGAGGCAUGCCCAAGCAUUUUACCCCACUUCCCAUGGGAGACCCAGAUGUUAAAGCUGUUAAUUGGGCGUCUCCCGCAAACAAGGCUAGGGAAUCCCGUGGAGCCACGUGGAGACCGUGUGUGUGCGCGCGUGCGCAUGUAAGCAGAUGGUAUGCUGGUCGGCCUGUGCAAAUGGGGAAGAGAGACGAGACCUUUGGGAGUCAAGGCCCGGAAAUCCUCUCAUACGGAAAUCCCUCUCUUGGUUCUCUUUGUGAGUGCCUCUGCUGCCAGAAGGUGUGCCUGGACCAGGUUCUGCACGUGGACCCAGUUCAUUCGUGUCUUGGGAUCCCCAAAUUUGAAGGCUCUAACAUUAUGGGACUGUUCUAAUUUGGUGCUCGGGAGUGCGUAUCCUGAGACGGUGCCUGAGACGCAAAGGACGAGGCUCAGCCGCACUUAGGGUCCAAGCUGGGAUCUGGUUCUUACUGGCAGGGCAGAGGGACCCCCAUCCCCAUCCACCAGGUACCGCCUCCCCAGCGCCCAUAUCCCGCCACCAGCACUCCAGACCCGGGCGGGAGCGCCUCCGCCUUUCCCUCAUCCCCCCAG